rnacentral:rRNA from 1 species
GACGAACGCUGGCGGCGUGCUUAACACAUGCAAGUCGAACGGAAAGGCCUCAGCUUGCUGGGGUACUCGAGUGGCGAACGGGUGAGUAACACGUGGGUGAUCUGCCUUGCACUCUGGGAUAAGCUUGGGAAACUGGGUCUAAUACCGGAUAUGAACUGCCUUUAGUGUGGUGGUUGGAAAGUUUUUUCGGUGCAAGAUGAGCUCGCGGCCUAUCAGCUUGUUGGUGGGGUAAUGGCCUACCAAGGCGUCGACGGGUAGCCGGCCUGAGAGGGUGUACGGCCACAUUGGGACUGAGAUACGGCCCAGACUCCUACGGGAGGCAGCAGUGGGGAAUAUUGCACAAUGGGCGGAAGCCUGAUGCAGCGACGCCGCGUGGGGGAUGACGGCCUUCGGGUUGGAAACUCCUUUCGACAGGGACGAAGCUUUUUGUGACGGUACCUGUAUAAGAAGCACCGGCUAACUACGUG